rnacentral:rRNA from 1 species
AUUGAACGCUGGCGGCAUGCCUUACACAUGCAAGUCGAACGGUAACAGGUCUUCGGAUGCUGACGAGUGGCGAACGGGUGAGUAAUACAUCGGAACGUGCCCGAUCGUGGGGGAUAACGAAGCGAAAGCUUUGCUAAUACCGCAUAAGAUCUAUGGAUGAAAGCAGGGGACCGCAAGGCCUUGCGCGAACGGAGCGGCCGAUGGCAGAUUAGGUAGGUGGUGGGAUAAAAGCUUACCAAGUCGACGAUCUGUAGCUGGUCUGAGAGGACGACCAGCCACACGGGGACUGGGACACGGCCCAGACUCCUACGGGAGGCAGCAGUGGGUGAUGUUGGACAAUGGGCGAAAGCCGGAUCCAGCCAUGCCGCGUGCAGGAUGAAGGCCUUCGGGUUGUAAACUGCUUUUGUACGGAACGAAAAGACUCUUUCUAAUAAAGAGGGUCCAUGACGGUACCGUAAGAAUAAGCACCGGCUAACUACGUGCCAGCCGCCGCGUAA